rnacentral:lncRNA from 1 species
AGAAAGCUACCUGAUUGCAGGGAGGAAAGAAGUAGUGGAUUGCAGAGAAGGAAAGGAGACAGUGGCUCUGUGUCCCCAAGAGGCUCAAGCGUGAGCCACAGGAGCAGUUCUGGGAAGUAGGGCUGAGGUUUGCAGGGAGGCUACACAGGGAGAAGCUGAGGAUUCAGAGCUGUGGUCCUGGGGACCCAUGACUUUCUGGAGCAGAAGUGCUCUUGAGGAGCAGGAUCAGGAUCAUGUGGCCAGGAAGAUCCAGGGUGAUCUCUGUAGGGACUUGAAUCAGCAGCAGGCUGGGGUGAUGAUGCAGGCCCAAUACCAGGUAAUGGUGAAAAGUAGAGACAGCUGUGGACCCACCCGACUCCAGGAGCUUUCCUCUUCUGAUGAGGAUGUUAGCAUCACCUUGGCUCUCUCCCAGGCCUUCUGCAUUUUUUGAAGAUGGUGAAAAGAGUAGGAUACCAGACAGUCUACUAAUUUGGCACCAGAGGCUCAAGACGGAUUUAUGUAGGGAAAACAAAAAAUAUGUGAUGCUCCUUGUACCUUAAAAAUGUGGAGCAACUCAUUUCAGUUAUGUGGAUCUGCGUUAGCAUCUGCUUGCUUUUUCCUUUUGCCCCAUAUUUCAAGUGGUGUUGUUUUACUCUUUCUGGUCUGUAUUCUUUUUAUUUUCCACACACACAAAAAUUGUGGACUGGCCCGUCUUGCAGACAGAUUGGACUAGGGAAACAGGACAUGCUAUUAUUGUCAGUUAAGUGGUUUUUCACCAGUGCUGUGUUGUAGAUAUGACCUGUGCUCUCAGCUCUUGCUGGGAAAUUACCCUUGUAGACUACGUGAGCAUCUGUGCCUCACUGCUCUCCCUCCUGUCUCAGGGCCAAUACAUCCAGGGGAAAUUCUUUUCUUCAUACAGAAACCAUAUUGUAUUGUUAACAUACUUUUUCCUGUUAAGUUGCAAAUUGCACUGUCUUGUUGCAGUGCUAUCAUUAAAUAUAUUGAGUCUCCAAGGAAAGAUUUAUCUGAAACACAAAUGAGCGGGGUUAUUUUGUGAAUAAAUUAUUAGACUGCAAAUAAUUUUGGCUAGCAAUAGUAGAAGGAAUGCCUCCCACAGAUAAAAUAUCAAUUUCCAUGUGGCAGAGCAAGGAUAGUCUUUGCUGCCGAGGGGCAUAAUGGAUGAUUCUGUUUUGCACUGCUUUCUAAACUGUAAGCAUUUUCACAUCAGUGAUACAAUGUUUGGUCCCAGGAGGACAGUAAGAAUUUCUGAAGAUAGUCUCACUUUCCAAGUACAAAUUGUUCAAAGAGGAACGCUGUGCCCUACAUGCUGGGUUGGAGCAGUUGUGCCCUUUGAGAACAGCAUAGACUUGAUGUUGACUCAAAAAGAUUAGCGAUGCUACCCUAACUUGUUAUAUGACCUUGGUCAAGUCACAGAACCUCUUUGUUUCAUUUAUUGGUUGUUUUAACAUGUAUAAUUUUGACCCUUGGGAAACCCAAGAUCUUUUCCAGAAUGCUGCAAAAUCAUUUCCAUUAAUGGGAAAUGGAAAACAUUCUUUGAGGACUUUCACAGAUAUCAUUUAGGCCCCUAUUUCAAGUGAUGUUUUACUCUUUGGAUGCUCCUGUCUUCUUCAUCUGUACUAAUGCUUGGAGCUGGUUAUAAAGAGCCGUAGACUUCCAGGCCUGUGUCCCAAGCCUCCUAGUACCUGUUUGCAGAGCAGGGAGAGGAUGAUUGCCCUCCUUGACUCUAGGAACUGAUACUUUGUGGGUAGCUCUGGGAGUGCUAUUAGGGAAGAGGCAUUUGGACAGGAUGAUCCCUCAGUGUCGUUGUUUCUUUUUAGGGCCACACCUGUGGCAUAUGGAUGUUCCCAGGCUACGGGUCAAAUAGGAGCUGCAAUUGCUGGUCUACACCACAGCCACCGCAACACAGGAUCCAAGCCACAUCUGCGACCUAAACCUUAGCUCAUGGCAAUGCCAGGUCCUUAACCCACUGAGCGAGACCAGGGAUUCAACCCACAUCCUCUUGCAUACUAGUCAGGUUUGUAACAUGCUGAGCCACAAUGGGAACUCCUACAGUGUCUUGAAAGGGGCACUCUUGCCUUCUCUGCUCAGAUCCCCAAGGAGGUCAUGAGUUGUCCAAAAUGAGAUGUCAAAAGGACUUAUUUACAAAACAUAAACAGACUCAAAAAUUUCAAAAUCAAACUUAAGGUUACCAAAGGGGAAACAUUGAGGGGGGAGGUUGGGAUUAACAUAUACUCACUACUACAUAUAACAUAGAUAAGUAACAAGGACCUAUUGAAUAGCACGGAGAAAUCUACUCAGUAUGCUGUUAUAACUUACAUGGGGAAAAUAUUAGAAAAAAAACAGAUAUAUUUAUAUAUAACUAAAUCACUUUGUUGUACACCUGAACCUAACAUACCAUUGUAAGUCAAUUAUAGUCCAAAAACAUUUUAAUAAAUGAGAUGUCAAAAUUUUAAUAGUUUGCCUUUGGAAUAGAAAUAUACAGAAUAACCAAUCAUCUGUAUCUUUUCCUCCUUUUAAGUGUAUUCCUUUCUUCCCCUGCCUUGUGCCUAUGCUGGGAUAGAUGAAAGAAACAUAAGGGAAAGAGGUCAUCAGUAUAUACUAAUCUCCUCUGAUGUGCCAGGUACUAUACCAGACACUUAAUAAUAAGAUUUUAUUUUAUUCUUGCAAUAUGUCUUUAAAGUAGUUUAGUCAUGAUCCCCAUUUCAUAGGUGAGGAAACCAAGGCUUGGAGCAUUAGCAUAUAUUGCCCCAAAUCACACAACUAAUAAGAAGUAGAGUAGACUGAAACCCAUAUUUAUGUCAGUCCUCAAAAUUUACACUUUAUUCCUGCACUUUUCAUUAAUUUCUCUUCAUUUUUUGGUAACCACUUUUUCUCCAGUGACUUUCUCCCCAUUGCUCUAAUCCCUUCUGUUUGUCCAGAGAUCAGCAUUCCUAAAUCUUUCCCUCCCUCUUCCUCUCCCACUUUGAGGAUCUAGUCCUCUUCACUGAGCUGGCUGCUAGCCAAUCUGAUAAGCUUAUUUCCAUCAAAGUGGUUAGUGACAGAAAGGAUAAAACAUUUCAAAUCUGUAUUUUGUAAUAAUUUUCAGUUUCCAUGGGAGACUAGAUGUGGGAGUUGAUUCUGGUAGACCACAAAAUCAGUCAUAUCAGUGAACCCACAAAAAGUGAGAGACGAUGUAUUUCCCUGGGGAAAGUUCCUUCUAGUUCAUAGCGGUGUGUCUUACUAUGCAGGGGACAAUACGAAGAUGUUAAACAAAGGUUUUCCUUCCCUCUCUUGUGUGAGGGUAUAUAUUAAAAAUCACUCUGAGCAUGUAAAGGAAUUUUGACUUCUAAAAGGACUUACCAGUUGAUUUUACUUUUGAUACAGAUACAUGCCUUCCACUGUCUUUGGGUAGACAUCCCCAAGCCUAGUCUAUCUGAGGUCUUGGUCCUAAAUGCACCAGCCCCCCUCAGCUCACCCCAAGAUGCUUCUGUUUCUUGUGUGGUGUGGGGUAGACAGGAAGAACUUUAGUUUUAGAUUUCUCUUCCCUUAGAUAAAUGAUGUGAGUGUAGUCCUUGAAUUUCAC